rnacentral:rRNA from 1 species
UACGAAGGGGGCGAGCGUUGUCCGGAUUUACUGGGCGUAAAGGGCGCGCAGGCGGCUCAUUUUGUCAGGCGUGAAAGCCCCGGGCUUAACCUGGGAACUGCGCUUGAUACGGGUGGGCUAGAGUUCGGGAGAGGAGAGUGGAAUUCCCAGUGUAGAGGUGAAAUUCGUAGAUAUUGGGAAGAACACCGGUGGUGAAGGCGGCUCUCUGGACCGAGACUGACGCUGAGGCGCGAAAGCGUGGGGAGCAAAC